CAGUAGCCGCGGUAAUACGUAGGUGGCAAGCGUUGUCCGGAAUUAUUGGGCGUAAAGGGCUCGCAGGCGGUUUCUUAAGUCUGAUGUGAAAGCCCCCGGCUCAACCGGGGAGGGUCAUUGGAAACUGGGAAACCUGAGUGCAGAAGAGGAGAGUGGAAUUCCACGUGUAGCGGUGAAAUGCGUAGAGAUGUGGAGGAACACCAGUGGCGAAGGCGACUCUCUGGUCUGUAACUGACGCUGAGGAGCGAAAGCGUGGGGAGCGAACAGGAUUAGAUACCCGGGUAGUCCCUGUCUCUUAUAC
rnacentral:rRNA from 1 species